GAGCAGCCCAGAGUCUGAAUCAGCUUGUGUGUUAGUGGAACGGUCUGGAAAGUCCGACGGUACAGGGUGAUAGUCCCGUACACCAAAAUGCACAGGCUGUGAACUCGAAGAGUAGGGCGGGACACGUGGUAUCCUGUCUGAAUAUGGGGGGACCAUCCUCCAAGGCUAAAUACUCCUGACUGACCGAUAGUGAACCAGUACCGUGAGGGAAAGGCGAAAAGAACCCCGGCGAGGGGAGUGAAAAAGAACCUGAAACCGUGUACGUACAAGCAGUGGGAGCACCUUCGGGUGUGACUGCGUACCUUUUGUAUAAUGGGUCAGCGACUUAUAUUCUGUAGCAAGGUUAACCGUAUAGGGGAGCCGCAGGGAAACCGAGUCUUAACUGGGCGUUAAGUUGCAGGGUAUAGACCCGAAACCCGGUGAUCUAGCCAUGGGCAGGUUGAAGGUUGGGUAACACUAACUGGAGGACCGAACCGACUAAUGUUGAAAAAUUAGCGGAUGACUUGUGGCUGGGGGUGAAAGGCCAAUCAAACCGGGAGAUAGCUGGUUCUCCCCGAAAGCUAUUUAGGUAGCGCCUCGUGAAUUCAUCUUCGGGGGUAGAGCACUGUUUCGGCUAGGGGGUCAUCCCGACUUACCAACCCGAUGCAAACUACGAAUACCGAAGAAUGUUAUCACGGGAGACACACGGCGGGUGCUAACGUCCGUCGUGAAGAGGGAAACAACCCAGACCGCCAGCUAAGGUCCCAAAGUCAUGGUUAAGUGGGAAACGAUGUGGGAAGGCACAGACAGCCAGGAUGUUGGCUUAGAAGCAGCCAUCAUUUAAAGAAAGCGUAAUAGCUCACUGGUCGAGUCGGCCUGCGCGGAAGAUGUAACGGGGCUAAACCAUGCACCGAAGCUGCGGCAGCGACACUAUGUGUUGUUGGGUAGGGGAGCGUUCUGUAAGCCUGCGAAGGUGACCUGUGAGGGUUGCUGGAGGUAUCAGAAGUGCGAAUGCUGACAUAAGUAACGAUAAAGCGGGUGAAAAGCCCGCUCGCCGGAAGACCAAGGGUUCCUGUCCAACGUUAAUCGGGGCAGGGUGAGUCGACCCCUAAGGCGAGGCCGAAAGGCGUAGUCGAUGGGAAACAGGUUAAUAUUCCUGUACUUGGUGUUACUGCGAAGGGGGGACGGAGAAGGCUAUGUUAGCCGGGCGACGGUUGUCCCGGUUUAAGCAUGUAGGCUGGUUAUCCAGGCAAAUCCGGAUAAUCAAGGCUGAGGUGUGAUGACGAGGCACUACGGUGCUGAAGUAACAAAUGCCCUGCUUCCAGGAAAAGCCUCUAAGCAUCAGGUAACAUCAAAUCGUACCCCAAACCGACACAGGUGGUCAGGUAGAGAAUACCAAGGCGCUUGAGAGAACUCGGGUGAAGGAACUAGGCAAAAUGGUGCCGUAACUUCGGGAGAAGGCACGCUGGUGUGUAGGUGAAGUCCCUGCGGAUGGAGCUGAGACCAGUCGAAGAUACCAGCUGGCUGCAACUGUUUAUUAAAAACACAGCACUGUGCAAACACGAAAGUGGACGUAUACGGUGUGACGCCUGCCCGGUGCCGGAAGGUUAAUUGAUGGGGUUAUCCGUAAGGAGAAGCUCUUGAUCGAAGCCCCGGUAAACGGCGGCCGUAACUAUAACGGUCCUAAGGUAGCGAAAUUCCUUGUCGGGUAAGUUCCGACCUGCACGAAUGGCGUAAUGAUGGCCAGGCUGUCUCCACCCGAGACUCAGUGAAAUUGAACUCGCUGUGAAGAUGCAGUGUACCCGCGGCAAGACGGAAAGACCCCGUGAACCUUUACUAUAGCUUGACACUGAACAUUGAGCCUUGAUGUGUAGGAUAGGUGGGAGGCUUUGAAGCGUGGACGCCAGUCUGCGUGGAGCCAACCUUGAAAUACCACCCUUUAAUGUUUGAUGUUCUAACGUUGGCCCCUGACCGGGGUUGCGGACAGUGUCUGGUGGGUAGUUUGACUGGGGCGGUCUCCUCCCAAAGCGUAACGGAGGAGCACGAAGGUUAGCUAAUCCUGGUCGGACAUCAGGAGGUUAGUGCAAUGGCAUAAGCUAGCUUGACUGCGAGCGUGACGGCGCGAGCAGGUGCGAAAGCAGGUCAUAGUGAUCCGGUGGUUCUGAAUGGAAGGGCCAUCGCUCAACGGAUAAAAGGUACUCCGGGGAUAACAGGCUGAUACCGCCCAAGAGUUCAUAUCGACGGCGGUGUUUGGCACCUCGAUGUCGGCUCAUCACAUCCUGGGGCUGAAGUAGGUCCCAAGGGUAUGGCUGUUCGCCAUUUAAAGUGGUACGCGAGCUGGGUUUAGAACGUCGUGAGACAGUUCGGUCCCUAUCUGCCGUGGGCGCUGGAGAAUUGAGGGGGGCUGCUCCUAGUACGAGAGGACCGGAGUGGACGCAUCACUGGUGUUCGGGUUGUCAUGCCAAUGGCACUGCCCGGUAGCUAAAUGCGGAAGAGAUAAGUGCUGAAAGCAUCUAAGCACGAAACUUGCCCCGAGAUGAGUUCU
rnacentral:rRNA from 1 species